rnacentral:rRNA from 1 species
GACGAACGCUGGCGGCGUGCUUAACACAUGCAAGUCGAACGGAAAGGCCCUGCUUUUGUGGGGUGCUCGAGUGGCGAACGGGUGAGUAACACGUGAGUAACCUGCCCUUGACUUUGGGAUAACUUCAGGAAACUGGGGCUAAUACCGGAUAGGAGCUCCUGCUGCAUGGUGGGGUUGGAAAGUUUCGGCGGUUGGGGAUGGACUGGCGGCUUAUCGGCUUGUUGGUGGGGUAGUGGCCUACCAAGGCUUUGCCGGGUAGCCCGCCUGAGAGGGUGACCGGCCACAUUAGGACUGAGAUACGGCCCAGACUCCUACGGGAGGCAGCAGUGGGGAAUAUUGCACAAUGGGCGGAAGCCUGAUGCAGCAACGCCGCGUGCGGGAUGACGGCCUUCGGGUUGUAAACCGCUUUCGCCUGUGACGAAGCGUGAGUGACGGUAAUGGGUAAAGAAGCACCGGCUAACUACGUG